rnacentral:lncRNA from 1 species
GUGUGAAGUAUUUAAAUAUUUUAUUAAUAUAUUAAUAUAACUGGUGCAUUAAAUGAAAAAGUUCAAACAACAAUAAUUGUGUCUUAUCUUAUAUUCUCAGAUAUAACUUAAAGAUCUAAAUGCAGGCUUUCACAUUUCUUGCUAAAAAUCCAAAUCAAUACAUUUCCUUCCCUGUAUUAGCACUACAGAUAUAAUUGUUCAUUUCAACUGACAAAGAAGUUAAAUGUCAAUGCAAACAAGACAACUGUUUUAAAUCGAAAAAUUAGAUACAAUUUUAAAUGACAUCAAAGUAAGUUAAUAAUAACUAUUUAUCAAAUGACUCUAAUUGUUUCCAGUCCUAUUUUUCUUUUGGAAAAUCUUUCAUCUAGAUUUGAAUAUUUUGUAUGGAACAUAGUAUAAUAGAUUAUGCCAAUAAAUAUUGUUUAGCAGUCAAUGUUUUGCAAUUCAUGCUAUGCAAAUUUUUUUAGCAUAUAUUAUACAUGAAUCUGUGUUUCUAUUCUUAAUUUGUUGGGCUCAUUAUUCUCUUUUCUUCAUAUCUAAGCACACCCUUCUUCUCUUUUCCUUCAAUUUCUAAUUUUUUUUUUUUGCCUUUUGACACUAUUGUGUAAACCCCAUACAGACUGUCAUUUAUCAUUUCAUCAACAAACAAAAAUUCUGAUGGACGAUUCCCAACUUCUAAUUAAGUGGUAUAUCUGUACUGUUACCAGUAAAGUAAAUAUAAGUGUAAAGAACUUCCAUAAUAGUUUAUAGUCAGUACGAUUUGCCAAUUAGAAGAUAUCAUAUUUUUGCUAGCUUUAUUACACAAUUUGAAGAGUCUGAUUUUCUAGAACUUAAGAAGAAAUCUGUUAGCCAUGCAUUUUAACCUGUAAAUCUGGUCAUUAUAUAAGAUGUAGUUCAAAGAUAAGUAUAAAUUCAAUGCUCUCCAAUUUAUGUAUAUGUGGUAGUCAUAUAUCAGAUAUUUAAAAAGUUAUAACAAAACUGAACAUUCCUAUCGCAUUCAAUAUGUAAAACAAUUUUAAGGCAAUAAAG